GCCCCUAUAGUUUAACGGAUAGAACAAGGGACUCCUAAGCCCUGGAUCCAGGUUCAAUUCCUGGUAGGGGCA
rfam:Parcubacteria bacterium GW2011_GWC2_49_9 TY52_C0012, whole genome shotgun sequence.